UUGAACGCUGGCGGAAUGCUUUACACAUGCAAGUCGAGCGGCAGCGCGGGGGCAACCCUGGCGGCGAGCGGCGAACGGGUGAGUAAUGCAUCGGAACGUACCCAGUCGUGGGGGAUAACUACGCGAAAGCGUAGCUAAUACCGCAUACGUCCUGAGGGAGAAAGCGGGGGAUCUUCGGACCUCGCGCGAUUGGAGCGGCCGAUGUCGGAUUAGCUAGUAGGUGAGGUAAAGGCUCACCUAGGCGACGAUCCGUAGCGGGUCUGAGAGGAUGAUCCGCCACACUGGGACUGAGACACGGCCCAGACUCCUACGGGAGGCAGCAGUGGGGAAUUUUGGACAAUGGGCGCAAGCCUGAUCCAGCCAUGCCGCGUGAGUGAAGAAGGCCUUCGGGUUGUAAAGCUCUUUCGGCCGGGAAGAAAUCGUGGUCUCUAACAUAGGCCAUGGAUGACGGUACCGGACUAAGAAGCACCGGCUAACUACGU
rnacentral:rRNA from 1 species